GGGGACGGCCGCGGCGGGCGGGGGGCUCCUGAGGCCUCCCGUCCUGUCCUGAGCCCCGGGGACACUGCCUCGGGACCGCGGCUAAAAGCCAACGGAGUGAGCCGGACUGGGUCUCUCCUCUGCCGCGUCCCUCCCGCGGGCAGCGCUUAGGCUUCCGGCCUGGUCCUCAGGAUAAAGUGCCGGCCAGGGACGUCACCCUGGUGACCUUCGCUGCUGGGGAGACGCGGGUCCGGGUCAUACCAUUCGGGUUCCUGCCUCGUGCAGGCCGGCUGUGUUUUUACUUCCAAAAACAGCCCAUGAUGGGGAGUUAUUUCCUCCGCACACCUCACAGAAUUAGCAGUGUCAGGGAUUGGAUUCUAGAACCAUAAAAGGACUUCAGUCCUUCAAAGGAUUUCACCAGAAAACUGGUGAAAUAAGAUUAAAGUCUGUAGUUUAGUUAUUAAUAUUGUACCAAUGUGAAUUUCCUAGUUUUAGCAAAUGUGCCUUGGUUAUGUAAGAUGUUAAUUAUAGGAGAAACCGGGUGAAGGGAAUACAGAAGCUGCCUACUAUUUUGCACCUUUUCUGUAAAGCUAAAAUUAUUCCAAAAUAAACCUUUUAUUUCUGCUUUUGCUUUUGGCCCGGGUGGGGGCGAUGGAUAAUUGCAUCGUGCAUAAUCCUGGUGGGAGCUCCAGCCUCUGGCUCUUCUCUCCCUGCCAUCUCAGGAUCACCCCCAUCUCAGGAUCCCCCCAUCUCAGGAUCCCCCUGGCUCCCCCGUGCCCCUCUGCCACACCUGGGCUCCGUCUGCUCCACCAUUGCACUGUCACGCAGACCCAGAAGUUUUCCUAAAUUGGAUUAUCGCACACCGGAGCCAUUGUGACCGAACUUUGGUGCUUUGCAAGUAACUUGUUAUGACAAGCACAGGAACUUGGAAUCUCAAGGACAGAAGGGUGAAGGCACCUUAGAGGUGGCAUGAAGGAUUGAUCUGGAGUUUCCCCGUAGGGCUUAAGAGAACUCACUGCCCUCCCCGCUACGUGGGAUCAGACUCCCAGGGGUGUAAAUC